UGAGAAGCUUGCUGGAGGUAUCAGAAGUGCGAAUGCUGACAUGAGUAACGACAAUGGGUGUGAAAAACACCCACGCCGAAAGACCAAGGGUUCCUGCGCAACGUUAAUCGACGCAGGGUUAGUCGGUUCCUAAGGCGAGGCUGAAAAGCGUAGUCGAUGGGAAACAGGUUAAUAUUCCUGUACUUCUGGUUACUGCGAUGGAGGGACGGAGAAGGCUAGGCCAGCUUGGCGUUGGUUGUCCAAGUUUAAGGUGGUAGGCUGAAAUCUUAGGUAAAUCCGGGGUUUCAAGGCCGAGAGCUGAUGACGAGUCGUCUUUUAGAUGACGAAGUGGUUGAUGCCAUGCUUCCAAGA
rnacentral:rRNA from 1 species